CUGAAUAACCUAGUUGAUCGCAUGGUCUUUGCACCGGCGACGUAUCUUUCAAGUGUCUGCCUUAUCAACUUUCGAUGGUAGUUUAUACGACUACCAUGGUUGUAACGGGUAACGGAGAAUCAGGGUUUGAUUCCGGAGAGGGAGCCUGAGAAAUGGCUACCACAUCCAAGGAAGGCAGCAGGCACGCAAAUUACCCACUCCCGGCACGGGGAGGUAGUGACGAAAAAUAACGAGAUAGUUCACGAUGUGGACUAUCAUCGGAAUGGGUAAAAUUUAAAUCCUUUAACGAGGAUCUAUUGGAGGGCAAGUCUGGUGCCAGCAGCCGCGGUAAUUCCAGCUCCAAUAGCGUAUAUUAAAGUUGUUGCGGUUAAAAAG
rnacentral:rRNA from 1 species